GAUGUUGCUACCAGAGGGAUAAAAACUUCCUUUGCAGAAGUUCUUAUGGUUCAGCUUUUGAAUUUCUGCGUGGGGAGCAAAAGGACCCGGUCAGAUUACUGGACUGUGAUGAGCUCCAUCUGGACCUGAAUGAAAGAAAUGCUAAUCAUCCUGGAUGUGGAACUAGGAGUGUUGUCUUCCUCUCGGGACAGAAUGAAUAUCAUUCAGGAGAAGCAAGCACUAUGUCGGGAGCAGCUUUUUUGAGAAAACCAUGUGUCAAGGAAUGAUGUC